UACGGAGGGUGCAAGCGUUAUCCGGAUUCACUGGGUUUAAAGGGUGCGUAGGCGGGUUGGUAAGUCAGUGGUGAAAUCUUCAAGCUUAACUUGGAAACUGCCGUUGAUACUAUCAAUCUUGAAUGUUGUGGAGGUAAGCGGAAUAUGUCAUGUAGCGGUGAAAUGCUUAGAUAUGACAUAGAACACCGAUAGCGAAGGCAGCUUGCUACACAAAAAUUGACGCUGAGGCACGAAAGCGUGGGGAGCGAACGGG
rnacentral:rRNA from 1 species